rnacentral:rRNA from 1 species
UACGAAGGGGCUAGCGUUGCUCGGAAUCACUGGGCGUAAAGGGUGCGUAGGCGGGUCUUUAAGUCAGGGUGAAAUCCUGGAGCUCAACUCCAGAACUGCCUUUGAUACUGAAGAUCUUGAGUUCGGGAGAGGUGAGUGGAACUGCGAGUGUAGAGGUGAAAUUCGUAGAUAUUCGCAAGAACACCAGUGGCGAAGGCGCUCACUGGCCCGAUACUGACGCUGAGGCACGAAA